rnacentral:rRNA from 1 species
GAUCGAUGGCUACAGGACGAACGCUGGCGGCGUGCCUAACACAUGCAAGUCGAACGAAGCAUUUGAUUGGAUCUCUUCGGAGUGAAGCUCUUAUGACUUAGUGGCGGACGGGUGAGUAACGCGUGAGUAACCUGCCUUUCAGAGGGGGAUAACAGUUGGAAACGACUGCUAAUACCGCAUAACGUGACGGAAUCGCAUGAUUCUGUUACCAAAGCUGAGGCGCUGAAAGAUGGACUCGCGUCUGAUUAGAUAGUUGGUGAGGUAACGGCUCACCAAGUCGACGAUCAGUAGCCGGACUGAGAGGAUGAACGGCCACAUUGGGACUGAGAUACGGCCCAGACUCCUACGGGAGGCAGCAGUGGGGAAUAUUGGGCAAUGGGGGAAACCCUGACCCAGCAACGCCGCGUGAAGGAAGAAGGCCUUCGGGUUGUAAACUUCUUUUACCAGGGACGAAGGACGUGACGGUACCUGGAGAAAAAGCAACGGCUAACUACGUG